CGGCACCUCAAGUGGUCAGGAUGAUUAUUGGGCCUAAAGCAUCCGUAGCCGGCUCUGUAAGUUUUCGGUUAAAUCUGUACGCUCAACGUACAGGCUGCCGGGAAUACUGCAGAGCUAGGGAGUGGGAGAGGUAGACGGUACUCGGUAGGAAGGGGUAAAAUCCUUUGAUCUAUUGAUGACCACCUGUGGCGGAGGCGGUCUACCAGAACACGUCCGACGGUGAGGGAUGAAAGCUGGGGGAGCAAACCGGAUUAGAUACCCGAGUAGUCC
rnacentral:rRNA from 1 species